AACGAACGCUGGCGGCAGGCCUAACACAUGCAAGUCGAGCGGACCUUUCGGGGUCAGCGGCGGACGGGUGAGUAACGCGUGGGAAUAUGCCCUUCUCUACGGAAUAGUCCUGGGAAACUGGGGGUAAUACCGUAUACGCCCUUUGGGGGAAAGAUUUAUCGGGGAAGGAUUAGCCCGCGUUGGAUUAGGUAGUUGGUGGGGUAAUGGCCUACCAAGCCGACGAUCCAUAGCUGGGUUGAGAGGAUGAUCAGCCACACUGGGACUGAGACACGGCCCAGAAUCCUACGGGAGGAAGCAGUGGGGAAUCUUAGACAAUGGGGGCAACCAUGAUCUAGCCAUGCCGCGUGAGUGAUGAAGGCCUUAGGGUUGUAAAGCUCUUUCAGCUGGGAAGAUAAUGACGGUACCAGCAGAAGAAGCCCCGGCUAACUCCGUG
rnacentral:rRNA from 1 species